rnacentral:rRNA from 1 species
GACGGGGGAUGCAAGCGUUAUCCGGAAUCACUCGGCGUAACGCGUCUGUAGGUGGUGAUGCAAGUCACUGGUGCAAAACUCUGGCUCAACCGGAGGAAAGCCAGUGAAACUGCAUGACUAGAGUGUGGGAGAGGUAGAAGGAAUUCCCUGAGUAGCGGUGAAAUGCGUAGAUACAGGGAAGAACACCGGAGGCGAAAGCGUUCUACUGGAACACAACUGACACUGACAGACGAAAGCUAGGGGAGCGAAUGGG